rnacentral:rRNA from 1 species
AUUGAACGCUGGCGGCGUGCUUAACACAUGCAAGUCGAUCGGUAACGCGGGGGCGACCCUGGCGACGAGAGGCGGACGGGUGAGGAACGCUUGGGAAUCUGCCUAUCAGCGGGGGACAACACGGGGAAACUCGUGCGAAUACCGCAUACGCUCUACGGAGGAAAGCCGGGGACCGCACGGCCUGGCACUGAUAGAUGAGCCCAAGCCGGAUUAGCUAGUUGGCGGGGUAACGGCCCACCAAGGCGACGAUCCGUAGCUGGUCUGAGAGGACGAUCAGCCACACUGGGACUGAGACACGGCCCAGACUCCUACGGGAGGCAGCAGUGGGGAAUAUUGGACAAUGGGGGAAACCCUGAUCCAGCGACGCCGCGUGGGUGAAGAAGGCCUGCGGGUUGUAAAGCCCUUUCGGUAGGGACGAAAGCUCUCGACCUAACACGUCGGGAGGUUGACUUAACCUACAAAAGAAGCACCGGCUAACUCCGUGCCAGCCGCCGCAGUAAGAC